rnacentral:rRNA from 1 species
CCUGGUUGAUUCUGCCAGUAGUCAUAUGCUUGUCUCAAAGAUUAAGCCAUGCAUGUCUAAGUAUAAGCAACUUUGUACUGUGAAACUGCGAAUGGCUCAUUAAAUCAGUUAUAGUUUAUUUGAUGGUUUUUGCUACAUGGAUAACUGUGGUAAUUCUAGAGCUAAUACAUGCAUUCAAGCCCCGACUUCUGGAAGGGGUGUAUUUAUUAGAUAAAAAUCAACUUUGUUGGUGAAUCAUAAUAACUUCUCGGACCGCAUGGCCUUGUGCUGGCGGUGCUUCAUUCAAAUAUCUGCCCUAUCAACUGUCGAUGGUAGGAUAGAGGCCUACCAUGGUUGCAACGGGUAACGGGGAAUAAGGGUUCGAUUCCGGAGAGGGAGCCUGAGAAACGGCUACCACAUCCAAGGAAGGCAGCAGGCGCGCAAAUUACCCAAUCCCGACACGGGGAGGUAGUGACAAUAUGUAACAAUAUACGGCCUUAUACGUCGUAUAAUUGGAAUGAGUACAAUUUAAAUCCCUUAACGAGGAACAAUUGGAGGGCAAGUCUGGUGCCAGCAGCCGCGGUAAUUCCAGCUCCAAUAGCGUAUAUUAAAGUUGUUGCAGUUAAAAAGCUCGUAGUUGGACCUUGGACCUGGACAGGCGGUCCGCCUCACGGCGAGUACUGUCUUGCUGGGUCUUUCCUCUUGGUGAUCUGUUGUUUCGGCAGCAGGGAACCAGGACCUUUACUUUGAAAAAAUUAGAGUGUUCAAAGCAGGCUCGACGCCGGAAUAUAUUAGCAUGGAAUAAUAAAAUAGGACGUGCGGUUCUAUUUUGUUGGUUUUUGGAAUCGCCGUAAUGAUUAAUAGGGACAGUCGGGGGCAUUAGUACUCACAUGCUAGAGGUGAAAUUCUUGGAUUUUGUGAAGACUAACUUCUG